GUCUGUAGCUCAGUUGGAUAGAGCAACGGCCUUCUAAGCCGUGGGUCGGGGGUUCGAAUCCCUUCAGGCUCG
rnacentral:tRNA from 1 species